UACCAACAAUCCUGUUCCGCAAAAAAUCAAAUUUUGCUUGGUAUUAUAACUUCAUUGGUAUUGUACUUUUUAUACUAUUGUGUUUCUUUACUAAGAUGAUUUCAUCAUAUAUGAGAAGCAUAUGUGGUACGAAUCAAGGAAGCCUCGGCCAGAAACUAGGACUCAAAAUCAAGGGGUAUAUUUGCCAAGAUGGAUUAAAGGGAUUCAUCCAUGCAUCAUUAGUGUCAAAGGUUAUCUUUUAUGGAUAAUGUUGCAGAAGAAAACAAUCCAAGAAUUUUUUAUGGAAGAUUAUUGGUAUACUAUAAUGAAAGUUUUGUUAAUUUUGUCAUGUGGACUGCAAAUCUUUCGCUGGCUCGGUCUCAGGUUCAGUAGAGACAAUUAAGGAGUCGCUUUUCAACAUAUAUCUAUAGUAAAUUGUAAAGCUAAAAGUCGAUAAAAACAUGUACCAUAGGAAAGGGGAAAAGAGAGAUUUAGUAUAGAUGUUUAGUCUAGUUUGUUGUAUAUGUAGCCUCUUGGAGUUCAACUUAUGUUUACCUCAUCUUUCAUCGUAUGUUGGCUUCUGCAGUUCAACUUAUAUAUACUUCUUUGAAAUGUCAAUAAAAUAGUCUACUUUCACAUUCUAUGUUAUUAUCUAGUUCGUAUAUUUGUUAAGCUUCAUUUCCCUUCCUCUUUGUAGUGAUUUGAUCGUGCUAAGCAGUUGAAGAGAGAUUAUAGUAGUUUCUAAAUGAACCCUUACAAUAUUUAAUUCCAUCGAACCUGCUCAAGUGUGAUUGCAAAACUAAUUUCCUUUUGUAUUGAUGUUUGACCACAUGAUGGCAGUUCAACAUCAAGGGUAGAUGGAAAGGACGUGACCGUACUUUAGCUUAAGAAAUCGUGAACUUUUUUAGAUCAUUAUUUCUUGACAAGUAUUUUUAAUAUUUUGAGAAGUCUACAAGGGUUAUCUGGAGAAACUUUACUGUAAAGGGAGGAACUUGAGAUGCAGAUGGGGAAAGGAUUCGAAGAUUUGAUGAGCUUACAUGUCCCAAAACAAAAGAUAUGAUGAGGUUAUAAUUUUGCAAAGAUUGAUGUGCAAAUUUUCAAGUUGUGUAUAAUGAAUGUAAUAACUUAUAUUGGAUGGACCAUGCUAUUUUGCUGC